GAUGAACGCUGGCGGCGUGCCUAAUACAUGCAAGUCGAGCGAACGGACGAGAAGCUUGCUCCUCUGAUGUUAGCGGCGGACGGGUGAGUAACACGUGGAUAACCUACCUAUAAGACUGGGAUAACUUCGGGAAACCGGAGCUAAUACCGGAUAAUAUAUUGAACCGCAUGGUUCAUAAGUGAAAGACGGUUUUGCUGUCACUUAUAGAUGGAUCCGCGCUGCAUUAGCUAGUUGGUAAGGUAACGGCUUACCAAGGCAACGAUGCGUAGCCGACCUGAGAGGGUGAUCGGCCACACUGGAACUGAGACACGGUCCAGACUCCUACGGGAGGCAGCAGUAGGGAAUCUUCCGCAAUGGGCGAAAGCCUGACGGAGCAACGCCGCGUGAGUGAUGAAGGUCUUCGGAUCGUAAAACUCUGUUAUUAGGGAAGAACAAAUGUGUAAGUAACUAUGCACGUCUUGACGGUACCUAAUCAGAAAGCCACGGCUAACUACGUG
rnacentral:rRNA from 1 species